rnacentral:rRNA from 1 species
UACGUAGGGGGCGAGCGUUGUCCGGAUUAUUGGGCGUAAAGGGCGCGUAGGCGGCGCCACAAGUCACUUGUGAAAACUCUGGGCUCAACUCAGAGCCUGCAGCGAAACUGUGGUGCUGGAGUAUGGGAGAGGUGCGUGGAAUUCCCGGUGUAGCGGUGAAAUGCGUAGAUAGUCGGGAGGAACACCUGUGGCGAAAGCGGCGCACUGGACCAUAACUGACGCUGAGGCGCGAAAGCUAGGGGAGCAAACAGG